rnacentral:rRNA from 1 species
AGUCGAGGGGUAACAUUGUAGCUUGCUACAGAUGACGACCGGCGCACGGGUGAGUAACGCGUAUGCAACCUGCCUUUGACAGGGGGAUAGCCCGGAGAAAUCCGGAUUAAUAUCCCAUGGUAUUUACGAAUCGCAUGGUUUGUAAAUUAAAGAUUUUAUCGGUCAAAGAUGGGCAUGCGUGACAUUAGCUAGUUGGUAAGGUAACGGCUUACCAAGGCUGCGAUGUCUAGGGGUUCUGAGAGGAUGAUCCCCCACACUGGUACUGAGACACGGACCAGACUCCUACGGGAGGCAGCAGUGAGGAAUAUUGGUCAAUGGGCGCAAGCCUGAACCAGCCAUCCCGCGUGAAGGAAGACUGCCCUAUGGGUUGUAAACUUCUUUUCUGCACCAAGAAUGGUUACUACGUGUAGUGAUUUGACGGUAGUGCAGGAAUAAGCAUCGGCUAACUCCGUGCCAGCAGCCGCGGUAAUACGGAGGAUGCAAGCGUUAUCCGGAUUCAUUGGGUUUAAAGGGUACGUAGGUGGCCAAUUAAGUCAGUGGUGAAAUCCUGCCGCUUAACGGUAGAACUGCCAUUGAAACUGGUUGGCUUGAGUACAGUUGAGGUAGGCGGAAUGUGUAGUGUAGCGGUGAAAUGCUUAGAUAUUACACAGAACCCCGAUUGCGAAGGCAGCUUACUAAACUGUAACUGACACUGAGUGCGAAAGCGUGGGGAGCGAACAGGAUAGAUACCCUGGUAGUCCACGCUGU